rnacentral:rRNA from 1 species
GAUGAACGCUGGCGGCGUGCCUAAUACAUGCAAGUCGAGCGAACGGACGAGAAGCUUGCUUCUCUGAUGUUAGCGGCGGACGGGUGAGUAACACGUGGAUAACCUACCUAUAAGACUGGGAUAACUUCGGGAAACCGGAGCUAAUACCGGAUAAUAUUUUGAACCGCAUGGUUCAAAAGUGAAAGACGGGCUUGCUGCCACUUAUAGAUGGAUCCGCGCUGCAUUAGCUAGUUGGUAAGGUAACGGCUUACCAAGGCAACGAUGCAUAGCCGACCUGAGAGGGUGAUCGGCCACACUGGAACUGAGACACGGUCCAGACUCCUACGGGAGGCAGCAGUAGGGAAUCUUCCGCAAUGGGCGAAAGCCUGACGGAGCAACGCCGCGUGAGUGAUGAAGGUCUUCGGAUCGUAAAACUCUGUUAUUAGGGAAGAACAUAUGUGUAAGUAACUGUGCACAUCUUGACGGUACCUAAUCAGAAAGCCACGGCUAACUACGUG